CUCGUUGUAUGCUAAACUUUACUCUGGAGGAGUAACCGCAUUUCAGAACAAAGUAAAUAUUCAAAGCCGAGACACCACACUAACCAAACCAUACCACACGCAGAACCUUUCUGCAUUGCAAGGACGAUGGGACUGCUUAUAAUUGAGGGCACUAUUGGCCUUGAUGAAUAAAAAAACCAAUAUACAUACAGAAGUAUGCUCGCUCUGUCGUUGUAAAUAUGGCUACGAUUAUAUUCUUGCCUUGGAUGGAUAUUAUUACCUGUUGAAAACAUCAGCUGAUAAGUUUGGGAAUCAGAAACUCGAUUCCGGUGAAUAUCAAUCACAGUUUGCAGAGUCAACGAGAGGGAUACGUGAUUUGCGAGCACAAGCAGGCUGGAUUUGGAAACAUGAGCGAGAUGAAUAUUAUGUGGAAGGUGAUUCAGAGAAAAUCCUCUUUCAAGUAUGUUUCUUUUGCCCUUCUCCAAGAUUACAAUUCAACGCAAAGGUUGGAGUGCUCGGGUUGCCGGAAGGGAGAACUACUGUUUACGUCAAUUCCAAGAUAACAUGGAGGAGACUGAAACCUCGAUAACAUCAAUGAGUAGCAGGGGUAAAUACUUCAAAGAAAAUCUUGGUUAAUAACAAUUCAUGCCAUCCUUUUUCCUAGAGGCGUUCUUUCACUCCCAGCCAAAGUAUCUGUUGAGCUUAAACUGACAAUCGUCCUCCAUGCAGGAUGGAUAUUGUAUUUUUUAAUUUAACAACAUUUUUCCAUAAAUACAUCACAGUUCUUUGAUGUACAAAUAUUCAAGGCCAACGCAUAAUAUGUCCACUGUUCCCAAGCAAAUAGAUCACACAACAUAAAAAAUACAUGGUAUCCUUUAUCCUUUAUAAAGGUUAAUAUUUAAUUGUAACAUUGUGAACCAUCUUCCCACGCGGGAUUUACUUGCCAAUAAACAUACCAGGCUCAAAUAUCUGGUGGUAUUGAUAAAAAAUAAGGGCACUUAAACUAAUUGUUAUUAGUUCCUAUCCUCCGCUGACGGUGUACAACUUGUGUGGUGACAGCCUGAUCAAUUGGACCACAAGACGGUGGUUGAUGUAUAAUGAGCAUGACAAGAAAUAAUAAA